GCAAAUAAUGACUAGACAAAACUAAAUUAAAGAUAUCUUGAAUUGUAAUUUUGACUAGUCAAAAUUCCUUUUAAGAUAUCUUUAAACGAAUAAGAGAUAUCUUAAAUUAUUCAGCUUUUCCAUUUAAGAUAUCUUAAAUUGGCAUUCUGACUAGUCAGAAUGACAUUAUUGAUAUCUUGAAUUAGUAUUCUGUCUAGUCAAAACGUCAUAAAUUUACGUAGCAUUUUGGCGGACAGUGCGUAAGACAUUCUAGCUUUAGGCUACUUGAUUGGGCUAUUCAGUGGUCAGCAAUGUCAGAUCAGUCCAGCUCAAAUACUCGUGUUUUUAACACAAUAUUCAGCGCUGCAGCUCGUGCUCGACAUGAAUUAMGAAAUACCGAUWAUUUWUUAUCUGCAACAAGAAGACUUUUUCGACGUCAAGUGCAGCGAAGUCAAGGUAAGUGGAUGUUCAGAUGUCGGUUCAUAUAACUGUAGCUUUCCAGGUAGACUACGUUAGCUUCAUGCUAGUGGAAUAAAGAAAUAUUAAUUAGGAAACUAUAAGUAGCCUAUUUAGUUGGCACUGGAGUUGUCUUCCGCCUUAUAAAAUAUGACUUAGAAUAUCACUUAGCAUCUGGUGCAUCUAUGUUGUGAUUCUGUUGUGUUCAUUGCAGGCUCAGCUGGGAGGCGGCCAAGCCCUGUGUGGAAGACAAAUAUUUUCUUGCUUUCUGGUCCUAAUAUUGACAUUCUCCCUUCUCCCUCGGAUGUAGAAAGACUGAAGAACCAUGGAUUAGGCAACCCUGUGCAUGAGGGGACAGGAACCAGGAGCUCCAAAAUUAACCUGAAUUGGAGCUUGUCUGAACUGAAUAACUUUGUGUGUCAAAGUUACCCACACAUCAGCCUAAAUCUGGUUGGCUUUGAGUUGGCAAGAGCUGGAAAAGGACGAAAGGU